AGGGUUGGGCUGUCCGCCCAUUAAAGCGGUACGCGAGCUGGGUUCAGAACGUCGUGAGACAGUUCGGUCCCUAUCUGUUGUGGGCGCAGGAGAUCUGAGGGGAGCUGUCCUCAGUACGAGAGGACCGGGAUGGACCUGCCAAUGGUGCAUCGGUUGUCACGCCAGUGGCACAGCCGGGCAGCCAAGCAGGGAAUGGAUAAGCGCUGAAAGCAUCUAAGUGCGAAGCCAUCCCCAAGAUAAGAUCUGCGGUAGAUAAGACCCCUUGAAGACUACAAGGAAAUAGGCUGGGUAUGGAAGUUUCGCGAGAAAUGAAGUUGGCCAGUACUAAUCGGUCGAAAGCUUAAUCUA
rnacentral:rRNA from 1 species